CCUACGGGAGGCAGCAGUAGGGAAUCUUUCACAAUGGGCGAAAGCCUGAUGGAGCAACGCCGCGUGCAGGAUGAAGGCCUUCGGGUUGUUAACUGCUUUUAUAAGCGAGAAAUAUGAUGGUAACUUAUGAAUAAGGAUCGGCGAAAUACGUGCCAGAAGCCGCGGUCAUACGUAGGAUCCGAGCAUUAUCCGGAGUGACAGGGUGUAAAGAGUUGCGUAGGUGGCAUAAUAAGUAGCUAGUGGAAUCUGGUGGCUCAACCAUUCAGACUAUACGCGAUACUGUUAAGCUCGAGACCGUUAGGGGUAACUGGAAUUUCUAGUGUAGGAGUGAAAUCCGUAGAUAUUAGAAAGAACACCGAUAGCGUAGGCAGGUUACUGGGAUGGUUCUGACACUGAGGCACGAAAGCGUAGGGAGCAAACGGGAUUAGAUACCCGAGUAGUC
rnacentral:rRNA from 1 species